GGCACAGUGGCUCAGUGGUCAGCACUGCUGCCUCACAGCAAUUAGGUCACAGGUUCGAGUCCUGGCUGAGCCA
rnacentral:tRNA from 1 species